CACUAACCAACAUCAGGAUCCUGGUCUUACACUCUUAAACACAGCUUCAGGUGGCGACGAAAGGCAGAUUCGGCCCAAGGCUCUUUGCUGAGCUACCUCCAGCCCCUGUUGAGCACGGGCGUGCGGCACUGCGGGUUACUUCCAGCCCUACAGACUUUGUCACUAAGACCCUGUUAAUACCAGAUGUCUGGUCUGCAGAGAAAGACACCUCAGGAAAAAUAAAAGCAAGGCCAAAGCAAGAAGAAGGAGGGCUGGGAGGACCUCCUUCAUUGGGCUCUGGAGACAUUUCAACGUGGGAUGAGCAGUGUCCUUGCGGUGACCUCCAUGGAUCAUGUAGCAACUGCCAUCACUGGGGUUCUGAACAUCCCA